rnacentral:rRNA from 1 species
CGAACGCUGGCGGCGUGCUUAACACAUGCAAGUCGAACGGAAAGGCCCUGCUUUUGUGGGGUGCUCGAGUGGCGAACGGGUGAGUAACACGUGAGUAACCUGCCCUUGACUUUGGGAUAACUUCAGGAAACUGGGGCUAAUACCGGAUAGGAGCUCCUGCUGCAUGGUGGGGGUUGGAAAGUUUCGGCGGUUGGGGAUGGACUCGCGGCUUAUCAGCUUGUUGGUGGGGUAGUGGCUUACCAAGGCUUUGACGGGUAGCCGGCCUGAGAGGGUGACCGGCCACAUUGGGACUGAGAUACGGCCCAGACUCCUACGGGAGGCAGCAGUGGGGAAUAUUGCACAAUGGGCGGAAGCCUGAUGCAGCAACGCCGCGUGCGGGAUGACGGCCUUCGGGUUGUAAACCGCUUUCGCCUGUGACGAAGCGUGAGUGACGGUAAUGGGUAAAGAAGCACCGGCUAACUACGUGCCAGCAGCCGCGGUGAUACGUAGGGUGCGAGCGUUGUCCGGAUUUAUUGGGCGUAAAGGGCUCGUAGGUGGUUGAUCGCGUCGGAAGUGUAAUCUUGGGGCUUAACCCUGAGCGUGCUUUCGAUACGGGUUGACUUGAGGUUGGUAGGGGAGAAUGGAAUUCCUGGUGGAGCGGUGGAAUGCGCAGAUAUCAGGAGGAACACCAGUGGCGAAGGCGGUUCUCUGGGCCUUUCCUGACGCUGAGGAGCGAAAGCGUGGGGAGCGAACAGGCUUAGAUACCCUGGUAGUCCACGCUGUAAACGGUGGGUACUAGGUGUGGGGUCCAUUCCACGGGUUCCGUGCCGUAGCUAACGCUUUAAGUACCCCGCCUGGGGAGUACGGCCGCAAGGCUAAAACUCAAAGGAAUUGACGGGGCCCCGCACAAGCGGCGGAGCAUGCGGAUUAAUUCGAUGCAACGCGUAGAACCUUACCUGGGUUUGACAUGGAUCGGGAGUGCUCAGAGAUGGGUGUGCCUCUUUUGGGGUCGGUUCACAGGUGGUGCAUGGCUGUCGUCAGCUCGUGUCGUGAGAUGUUGGGUUAAGUCCCGCAACGAGCGCAACCCUUGUUCACUGUUGCCAGCACGUUAUGGUGGGGACUCAGUGGAGACCGCCGGGGUCAACUCGGAGGAAGGUGGGGAUGACGUCAAGUCAUCAUGCCCCUUAUGUCCAGGGCUUCACGCAUGCUACAAUGGCUGGUACAGAGAGUGGCGAGCCUGUGAGGGUGAGCGAAUCUCGGAAAGCCGGUCUCAGUUCGGAUUGGGGUCUGCAACUCGACCUCAUGAAGUCGGAGUCGCUAGUAAUCGCAGAUCAGCAACGCUGCGGUGAAUACGUUCCCGGG